AUUGAACGCUGGCGGCAUGCUUUACACAUGCAAGUCGAACGGCAGCGCGGGGGCAACCCUGGCGGCGAGUGGCGAACGGGUGAGUAAUAUAUCGGAACGUACCCAGAAGUGGGGGAUAACGUAGCGAAAGUUACGCUAAUACCGCAUACGAUCUACGGAUGAAAGUGGGGGACCUUCGGGCCUCAUGCUUUUGGAGCGGCCGAUAUCUGAUUAGCUAGUUGGUGAGGUAAAGGCUCACCAAGGCGACGAUCAGUAGCUGGUCUGAGAGGACGACCAGCCACACUGGAACUGAGACACGGUCCAGACUCCUACGGGAGGCAGCAGUGGGGAAUUUUGGACAAUGGGGGCAACCCUGAUCCAGCAAUGCCGCGUGAGUGAAGAAGGCCUUGGUUGUAAGACUCUUUUGUUCAGGGAAGAAACGGGGGUGGCGUAAUAUCUGCUCCUAAUGACGGUACCUGAAGAAUAAGCACCGGCUAACUACGUGCCAGCAGCCGCGGUAAU
rnacentral:rRNA from 1 species